rnacentral:rRNA from 1 species
GGCGACGAUGUCUAGGGGUUCUGAGAGGAAGGUCCCCCACACUGGUACUGAGACACGGACCAGACUCCUACGGGAGGCAGCAGUGAGGAAUAUUGGUCAAUGGGCUUACGCCUGAACCAGCCAAGUCGCGUGAGGGAAGACUGCCCUAUGGGUUGUAAACCUCUUUUGUCAGGGAGCAACGCCGGCUACGUGUAGCCGGACUGAGAGUACCUGAAGAAAAAGCAUCGGCUAACUCCGUGCCAGCAGCCGCGGUAAUACGGAGGAUGCGAGCGUUAUCCGGAUUUAUUGGGUUUAAAGGGUGCGUAGGCGGAAUGCCAAGUCAGCGGUAAAAUCGCGGGGCUCAACCUCGCUCCGCCGUUGAAACUGGCGUUCUUGAGUGGGCGAGAAGUAUGCGGAAUGCGUGGUGUAGCGGUGAAAUGCAUAGAUAUCACGCAGAACUCCGAUUGCGAAGGCAGCAUACCGGCGCCCAACUGACGCUGAAGCACGAAAGCGUGGGUAUCGAACAGGAUUAGAUACCCUGGUAGUCCACGCAGUAAACGAUGAAUACUAGCUGUUCGGGGCAAAUGAGCCUUGAGUGGC